GCUUGCUUUCUUUGCUGGCGACCGGCGCACGGGUGAGUAACACGUAUCCAACCUACCCUUUACUCGGGGAUAGCCUUUCGAAAGAAAGAUUAAUACCCGAUAGCAUAAUGAUUCCGCAUGGUUUCAUUAUUAAAGGAUUCCGGUAAAGGAUGGGGAUGCGUUCCAUUAGGUUGUUGGUGGGGUAACGGCCCACCAAGCCUUCGAUGGAUAGGGGUCCUGAGAGGAAGGUCCCCCACAUUGGAACUGAGACACGGUCCAAACUCCUACGGGAGGCAGCAUG
rnacentral:rRNA from 1 species